rnacentral:lncRNA from 1 species
UUUUUACCAUGAUCCAUUUCUGUUUUAUGCCUAUGCUAAGUUGGUGUGACAAUUUGUGUCACACAUGUGCUUGUUGUGUUUGUCUUGACUUAUGCUAUGUGAUUGCCAUGCCUAAUGAUGUCCAAUGCCUCUAAUAAUGCCUAUGCUAAGUUGGUGUGACAAUUUGUGUCACACAUGUGCUUGUUGUGUUUGUCUUGACUUAUGCUAUGUGAUUGCCAUGCCUAAUGAUGUCCAAUGCCUCU